rnacentral:lncRNA from 1 species
CAGUAUGACAUCCUUCCAGGUUCUCUUACCGACUCGUGCUGCUGAGCUGUGUGACGUCCUCAGUGCAGACGUUGCGUCAGCAGCCCGGAGCUGAGUGUAGAUCAGCCGGCAGUUAAACCCACUGUCCUUCCAUAUGUAGGAAAAGGUGGGUUUUUUUGCCCACCCCCACUCUUCAGAAAUCUGCUGCCCAGUUGCCAUGGAGACAGAAAUACCCCGGCAGCCAGGUGUUGCUAUGGUAACACCUGGGAAGAGAAUGAGAGGAAGAACAGGAGGAUGAAAGGAGAGAGGGAAUGCUGAAUCACUAAAAAGCUUGCGCUUUAUUCGCUUUAUUGCACGUCAUAAUCGGCAAAAUACACAUAUGUAUUUAUUCAUUUGUUUAUUUAAUUAUUAUAAAUAUGCACUGUGACAAUAAUUCUCAACCAAUGUGUCCAUUACCCCCAGUCGAAAUAUAAUAUAUGUAAUUUAAAGACCACACUUUUCUUUUGUUUGUUUCUUACCUACUGAUCAGGCUCAAAAUUAUGACCACCUCCAAGUUCCUACACACAUCAGCUCCACUGAUCAUAUAGCACACUUUUUAGUUCUGUUAUUAUAGACUGUGGUUCUUAGUAUUUUUUCUCAAAAUACUGUAUUAUCUUCCUUAGUGGCACUGCUAGACUGGAAAUGAUUCACCAAUCUGUUUGCAGGUAUCGUCCUGAGGGCAGCAUCCUGAGGGCAAUGUUCUGUGAAGGACUAGUGGAUGAUCAACAUAAAUCAACAUAAAUUGUGCAGUAACAGAUGAGCUUCAGAGUGCUAAUAAAGUGUACAGCGAGGGAACACAGUGUUUAAAAACACUGAAACAAGGUGUUCAUAAUGUUAAGUUUGAUCAGUGUAUAUUCACAUAUUCACUUUUUUUUUGUUUUGUUUUCUGUGUGUGGGCAGGAGUUUCUGCGUAUACCUGCAGCUGCUCAUCCUCCAUCAGUUCUGAAAAGUGCGCUCAAACCUGGCUGUCAUGUUGGGAAUGGUUGAGGAAAGUAAACAGGGUCUUGCUAUUCCAUGACAUCACAGGCUUCCUCUUCUCCCCUCCCUCCAAGCAUCUGGUAAAAGAUCGGACUAGAAAAGCAGGUUGUCUUCCAGGAAGGAACUUGAACCUCGAUCGAGCGUCAGUGUGAGCCGAAGAAAGAGAGAGAGAGGUGAAGUUUGUGGAGGGUGAACAGGUCCGGCUGCAGGGAAAUGUUCUGUUCUGGUUUUUUUUUUUUUUUUUAGUUCUUUGUGUAGCGAUAGCACUGAAAAACAGAACCAGAUGGAACUCAUUUGUUGUAGUUGUCCUCUCCAAGACUUUCCUGCUCUGUCUGGCAUUCACUCGCUGAUGUCUGAUAUGAGUUUACAGUAUGUGUGGUGUGUGUAUAUGAGACUAUACUACUAUGGAAUUUUAUUUUAGCUUUUAUUUAACAUUUUUUAUGGUCUUCAUUAGGAAUCUUAAUGUAGAUUCACUGCUAAUGAAAUAGUUUCAAAAAUAGUUGCAUUAGAAAAAAAGUGUGGGAUUGAAAUGCUAUUCAGAAGGAAAUUAAAUGGGCAAUAUUUAUUCAACUACACAUACAGAAGUAGUCUAUAAUGCAUGUGUUAUGCAACAUGUCAAAUGUCUCAGCAUGUAAUAGAGUUUUCCAUAGAGGCUCCUAAGGAUGUCAGGGAUCGGCAGAACUAUGCCCAUGGCUCUUGUAUCUUUAAGGGAAGCUCUUUAGCAGUAUGUGGAUGAGGAUUGUCCUGUUGGAAUAAGUACAUAGGAGUGUGUGUUCAGAAAGGUUGGACA